rnacentral:tRNA from 2 species
AGUAAAGUCAGCUAAUUAAGCUCUUGGGCCCAUACCCCAAACAUGUUGGUCAAACCCCUCCUUUACUA